rnacentral:sRNA from 1 species
UUUUGUUCUCAAGAUAGUAACGAGUCACAUUGUU